rnacentral:rRNA from 1 species
AUUGAACGCUGGCGGCAGGCCUAACACAUGCAAGUCGAGCGGAUGAAGGGAGCUUGCUCCUGGAUUCAGCGGCGGACGGGUGAGUAAUGCCUAGGAAUCUGCCUGGUAGUGGGGGAUAACGCCCGGAAACGGGCGCUAAUACCGCAUACGUCCUGAGGGAGAAAGUGGGGGAUCUUCGGACCUCACGCUAUCAGAUGAGCCUAGGUCGGAUUAGCUAGUUGGUGGGGUAAAGGCCUACCAAGGCGACGAUCCGUAACUGGUCUGAGAGGAUGAUCAGUCACACUGGAACUGAGACACGGUCCAGACUCCUACGGGAGGCAGCAGUGGGGAAUAUUGGACAAUGGGCGAAAGCCUGAUCCAGCCAUGCCGCGUGUGUGAAGAAGGCCUUCGGAUUGUAAAGCACUUUAAGUUGGGAGGAAGGGCAGUAAGUUAAUACCUUGCUGUUUUGACGUUACCAACAGAAUAAGCACCGGCUAACUUCGUG